GCGCUCCCGGGUGGCAAGAUGGUGGCGCGCAGGACGAAGCUCGCGGCGCGGGACCCGGAGGACGGUAUCCCGAGCCCACCGUGCUACGCAGCUAUUCCAAUCAAGUUCUCUGAAAAGCAACAGGCUUCUCACUACCUCUAUGUGAGAGCACACGGCAUUCAACAAGGCACCAAGUCCACCUGGCCUCAGAAGAGGACUCUUUUUGUCUUCAAUGUGCCCCCAUACUGCACAGAGCAGGAGAGCCUGUCCUGCCUCCAGUCCACCUGUGGCCUUGUCCAGUCUGUAGAGUUGAAGGAGAAGCUGGAGCUGGCUGGGAGUCAAGGUCGAAGUUUUUUCAUCCAAAGCCAGUUCCGGGUUUCCAGGUAGCCUACGUGGUGUUCCAGAAGCCAAGUGGGGUGUCAGCGGCCUUGGCCCUGAAGGGCCCCCUGCUGGUGUCCACAGAGAGCCACCCUGUGAAGAGUGGCAUUCACAAAUGGAUCAGUGACUACGCAGACUCUGUGCCCGACCCUGAGGCCCUGAGGGUGGAAGUGGACACGUUCAUGGAGGCAUAUGACCAGAAGAUCGCUGAGGAAGAAGCUAAGGCCAAGGAGGAGGAGGGGGUCCCUGACGAGGAGGGCUGGGUGAAGGUGACCCGCCGGGGCCGGCGGCCUGUGCUCCCCCGGACUGAGGCAGCCAGCUUGCGGGUGCUGGAGAGGGAGAGACGGAAGCGCAGCCAAAAAGAGCUGCUCAACUACGCCUGGCAGCAUCGAGAGAGCAAGAUGGAGCAUCUAGCGCAGCUGCGCAAGAAGUUUGAGGAGGACAAGCAGAGGAUCGAGCUGCUGCGGGCCCAGCGCAAAUUCCGACCCUACUGAGCCGUGAGAGCCGCAGUGGAUGGCUGGAGGUGCAGGGCCAGGAGGAACAUGAGUCUCCACCGUUUACACCAACUUCCUGGUAUAAGGACUGUCACUGUGACAGGAGGAGGCACUUUCUGUCCCAGGUACCUUCUCCUUCCUCCUUUGUGCUCCCCUCCCCACUCCACCCAAGGGAGCCCCAGUUGGCCAGACAAAGCCAUCUACUCACCAUUCCGCCCACGACGCCACCUGGGGGACAAAAGAGCUGUGGGUGACAUUCCCUCACUCCCUCCCCAGCUGCAUACCCUAAAGCUUCUUCCCACCAGUUGGGGGGGGGGGGCACCAUAUGGGUGGCUGGGGGCUCAGCAUCUGGGCCAUGAUGUCCCCUUCAUCAGACCUGACCACUCAAAAGACCACAUUUCCCUCAUCCCUGUGUCCCUUGCGGCAGUUGCCUGAGGUCAGAGGGUACAGUGGUCAACCUCUGACUGACCCUCUCAUCUCUCUUUGCAGAUCUCAUAAGUGCAGGGGAAAGGGGUGGGGCAGCAGCUCCUAUCCUUCCCUCCCAGCCCUACUCCGGGCCCGGUCAGCUCCUGGCCACUGUACUCACCGAAGCUGUGGCCCAGAAUGGAGAAUCGAUUCCAUUUCAAGGCUGGAAAUGCAAGGAGCCAGAAGGUCCGGCUGGGCACAGGCUCAGCCCACGAUCUUGCUUCUAGUCCCCAGGCUCAGGAAAUCCCUUCCCAGCAUCUGGGGUGUCCACCCAGGACACUAGCUUGGGGGACCCACUGGAGGAAGCGAACUCUUCAACUUUCCCAAGAUCUCCCGUGAAUUGCUGGCAGACCUGGGGCCAGAGCCCAGGCCCCACUCUCAGGCCAGCGCUGCUUCCUGGAUCCUACCCCGCCUCCAGUGAUAAGAGGGGGUGCCCUAGAGCACCCCCCACACCGCCGAAAAUACACACUCUGUUUCUUACCUGCCACAA
ensembl:lncRNA RRP7BP ribosomal RNA processing 7 homolog B, pseudogene